CCCGCUUCUAUAGUUGUCCAUCGCUUUUGCUAGGGCAUUUCUCCAUUUUCCCAACUCUUUAUUCAAGAUUUUCCACCUACUGGAUAACGUCAUCUCCGUACGAGUAGACCCCGGAAUUUUUUCACAAAAUUCGGCAUGAAUUUUUUUCCACAUAUGAAAAAAUUUCAUCUCAUUGCCGGACACGGGACAAUGACAAAUUUGGAGCCAAGCCUCACACAAUGAAACAUCUCCCAUGGUGCUCCAAGCCCCUCCGGUUUCGAUAGAAGAAGCCAUAAAAAUGU
rnacentral:lncRNA from 1 species